AUGCAUUGUUGAGAACGUUGCU
rnacentral:snRNA from 1 species